rnacentral:lncRNA from 1 species
UGCGAUUAAGCCGUCGAUUCCCUUUUGCUUCGUUAAAAUCAGAGUUAGAAGAGGAAAAUUCGAGGCCGACAAAAUAAUAUAGUCGAGGCUUGUGAACGCCAAUCGCCGUUCCUAGCGACGGGCUGUCAUUUUUAAGAGGAGAACCAUCUGAAUCGGCUGAGGAAGACGAAACGGAGAGGCUGGGGCUGCUUUUUUUGUUUCGGCCGAAUGAAUGUAAAAAGGGGCUGUUGUUUUUUGACAUAUUUUAAGUGGCCAAAUGAGGUUUUAGGGUUUCUUAACCUAGAGCAUAAAACGGCACCGUUUAGGGCCUGUUCCAGUGGCUCCAAAACGGUGCCGUAUGAGCCUAACCCAUGCCCGACCCGAUUCAACCGAAUGGCCCCAAGACCCGCGUGUUUAAGUGUAAAAGGGGAUAUUUUCGUUUGGAUCCUUCCCCUUUUGCGUGAGCAUUCAAUUUGUGCCUCGCUUAUUUUGUUCCGUUUUUUAAUUUGGCUUUGUUGUUCGUGUAUGUUUGCAAUUGGGUCCUAGCCUUAACGCGGCGUUUUGGGGCAUGGGAAAUUUCCAGAUUUAAUCCCCGUGAAUUCGCACGCUUGACACAUUCGUCCCUAUUGUCUUUCCGAUAAACUCUUUCAUUUACAGAUUAUCCCUCUUAUUUUAAAUUUAUUUUAAUUAAGUCCGUAAUCUAUAUAGCUUAUUUUUUUUAAGAAUUCGUUUAAGCCUUUUGUGUGUUGAUAUUACUUUAUUUUAUUUUGCAAAAAUAUGUAUUGUUCCAACCUCUUCACGUUAUAUUAUUCUAAUAUUUUGUAUAAUACUCCAUUUAAAUACUUUAUACAUUUAUAUAUACGUUAGUUUAAUAGAACUUUCCAUUUAACAAAUAUUCAUUCAUGAUAUUAUAUAGGUGUUGAGAUACUUUAAUAAUUCCACUUUUUUCAUGAAAUCACCAUUUUAAAAUUCUUUUAUAUCAAAGUAUUUUGAUGUUUUAUACAACAUUUUGUUUAUAUAUUUUUAUACACAUUUAUGUAUAUAUAUUAAUUUAGUUGAGCCUUCUACUUGGAAGUACUUGUAUUUUAAAAUUAAUCUAGGUAUAUUAUUUAAUUUAUUUUAAUUAUUUCGCUUUGUGUUUAUGUGUAUAAUUACUUUUAAAUUUGUUAUUUUAAUAUUUUUAUAUAAUGUCUCAUCUAAAUAUCUUUGUGUAUAUCUGUACAUAUAUUAUUUCAAUGGCUAAAUUGUCGUUCUAAAACUCGUUUUUUAUGCUUUUAAAAUUAUUGUUUUGAAAUUCUUCAUAUUGUAUUAUUGUAAUAUAUAUUAUAGAGUAUCUCAUUCAAACACCUUUUUAUAUGUAUUUGUACAUAUAUGACAAAAUUAAUUUGGUUAUGUAUGCAUUUCCCUUUUACUUUAUUCUAAAUUUAUUUAUAUAUAUACAUAUAUACGAUUUGUAAAUCUAAUAUGUUCUUCAAAAUAUAUUUCAUUGUAUAUUUUUACCAUCUUUGCAUAUUUUAUACAUAAAUUAAAUUCUCCUUUAUUGAAUACAAAUUGUCAAUCUUAAAACUAAUACUCUUUAACACUUUGUAUAUUACCCAACUUAAAAAUAUUCAUUCCAUAACACAUGUUUUAAUAAUUGCAUAUAUAUCUCUAGUUUAUUUUUACAAAUAAUUUCAGAUUCAACAAUUCAUAAAUUAGAUAUUAAUCCUUUUAAAUUUAUCUUUUAUAUAUUUUAAUUGUCAUUUUGUUUUGCAUACUUUGCGCUUGAUUGUGUGGUAUUAGGUUAUGCAUAUUAUUGUUGUAUAUUAUUUUCGUUUCGUAUUAUCAUUAUAUAGGUUAUUCUUCAUUCAUGCUUAGGAAAUUGAUAAUAUUUUUAGAUUGGUGGAAUUCGAUUGUUAUCUUGUUAGUUGAUUAAACGACUUAUCUUAUCUCCAUUCAUCCAUCAUAACAUCUUAUAUGGGUAUAUUAUCCCGUGUUUUUAUUUUCUUUCCGGCCUACAAAUAUCACUUUAUAAUUUCUAAUUCUUUAAAACUAAUUAUUCCCUUUUAUUUCAAGUUAAAUUAGCGUAUUUCAAGCUGGUUUUAUAAUUAUUUGUUUAAAAAUUCCUUAAAACGGAGGUGAUGUUCGAUGUUCGGAAAUUCGGGGAAUCGUGCCCUACCGUGCUGGGUUGCAAUUUCUCAUUUGCUCAAAAUAAUCGAACGUCUCUUUAGAAUUUCAUUCAUGUUUUCUAAAAACUUUCUAAGGCGAGGCAAUGUUCAACGUUCGGAAAUUCGAGGAAUCAUGCCCUACUGUGCUGGGUUUCGAUUUUUCGUUGGACUAAAUAGUUGAGCAUCCUUUUGAAAUUUCCAAAUUAUAAAUUUUUGGAAGUUGAAAUCUAUCGCGUUUUCAAGGGUAUAAAGGAUCGCAUCCUACCGUACUGGAUGUGGUGCUAUAUUCCUCUGAAACAAGAAGAUUUUGAUGACCAAUUCGGGUUAUGCAAAUGUGAUCAAAAGGAACCUCAUUUCAAAAACAUUUUAAAUCUUAGACCCAAGGACAGUUAUUUAAUCGUAUGGUACCAAUUUUGGGGCAAAAUGAGGGUGCUAAUCCUUCCUCAUACGUAACUGAUUCCCGAGCCUGUUUUCUCAAAAUUUCGUAGACCAAAAUUAUUGUUUUCGUAAGCCAGAAUGUUUUAUUAAAACUAUCAAAUUUCUAGGUGAUCCGAUCACACCUAAACAAAAAAAGAUUGGUGGCGACUCCAUUUUUCGCUUUCCAAAAAGUCGAUCCACCGUUUUUUAAAUCGAAAUAAAAAAUGGUUCCGACAGCUUGGCGACUCCACUGGGGAAUUCAAUAAGAGAGUCAAGCCAUAAAAUUGAUUAUUUGCUGUCCUUUGGUCAAUGAAUUGAAAAUUUGUUUUGAAAAUCAUGAUUUCUUUAAUCGCAUUGUAUGAUUGUUAUGGUUUGGGUCUUGUAGGAUAACAUUGCAUUACAUUGCAUGACUGCUGUGGUCACACCUUCUAAGUGGGAGUAAGAAACUACGCUUUCGUGAGAUUUUCACCUCCACAUGGGCUAGUGGACUACUUCCGGGAUACAUCCGUACCUAUGAUUUCGUGAGAUUUUCAUCUCCGCAUGGUCAUAGGGAAAUGUAUUCCCCUGAACCGAACUCUAUCCAUAUGAACCUAUAAUGGGUGAGGAUCGAGGAAUUUGCUGGUUCGGGUACCCUUACUCUAGAACUAAACCACAUAUAGAGAACCCUAAGAGCCUUCUUUAGGUGGAGCUAGGUUAAACUAUAGUGGUCGCCCAUAUAAAUAUGCUUUGAUUAUCUUUAUUUUGCUUGUAUUUUAUUAUUAACACUUGAUACUGACUUGUCUUGUUUUGAUUGUAUUUUGCAUGACAUUGCAUAUUAAAGGAGGUAUUGAUUUAUAUUCGAUUACUAAGUUAGAAAGUUUAACAUGGAGAAUGAAUUUCUUAGUAAAGUUGAGGAUAAUGCGGCCGUCUGCGCAUGGUCAGAAAAGUUACAAUCAGAAAAAGGGGAUAGCUUGACAGAAGGAUAUACAUCAGAGUUACAAGAAUUCACUCACGUCAAUGUAGCACAGAAUGAGUUGUAAGAGUUGAGAGACAUCUGUGCUCGUUGGGAUGAAGAAACCAAAUAGUUAUUCUAUCAAAGCUAUGGUGAUAUAUCUCACUUGUUAGAUAUUAAGGUGAACAAGCACCUGUUCCGAGUUAUGGUUCAAUUUUGGAAUUCUGCUUACAAGUGUUUCACUUUUAGGGAAGUGAAUUUAUUGCCUAUUGUUGAGGAACAUACUACCCUACUCAGGUGUCCAAAAGUGCAAGUUAGAAAAGCUUAUGCCAAGGUUUUUAAUGGUCAAACCUUCACGAAGAAAUUGAUGAAUAUUUUAGGGAUGAGCGAGCCUUGGGUCACCGCUCGGAUUCAAAAAAAGGGAGAUAAUAAAUGUAUCCCUUGGGAGAAUUUGAGAGAUUUGGUUUUAACACAUCCAGAUGAGAGAAAGAGGGUCAAUAUCUUCACCUUAAGCAUCUAUGGAUUGGUAAUUUUUCCUAAGGCUUCAAGGCACGUGGAUGAGGCAGUCACUGACUUAUUCGAUCGUCUUGAGAAGGAAAUCACACCGGUGCCGGCAAUAUUGGCAGAGACAUUCAGAUCCUUGAGCACAUGUCGGAAGACGGGUGGGGGACGGUUUAUUGGAUAUGCACAACUGUUGAUGGUGUGGUUUCAUGGGCACUUUUGGAAAGUAGACAAGGUUUCUUAUCGGGUCUUUGCAGAAGGUUAUUUCUCGUUGAAAGAGGAAGCAGCCAUACAAAGGAGAGAUGAUAUCUCGAAGGAGAAGUGGAUGAAAAUUCUUCAAAACCUUAAGGAGGAGGAUAUCGAGUGGAGAGCAUAUUGGAUGGUUCCAGAUGAGAUCAUGUAUCGGUGCGGUAACUUUGAUUGGGUGCCAUUGUUAGGAAUUUGGAGAGCUACCGGGUACACCCCAUUACUUGCAUUGAGACAAUAUAAAUCGAGGCAAUUUGUACCCACGACCUACGAACUUGCUCAGUGUGAAUUCUCUUUUAAAGGUGCCCACUAUAAAAAGAAAGUUCGGGAGCUACCUGAUGCUUGGAAGCAAACUCGUUGGAUGAAGAGGUUAGCUAUCAGUUCCAUGGUGACACCUGAGUAUGAUGGAUGGUUUAAGAAGAGGGUUAAUGAUAAUGUUCCUAGGCCAAGUUUAGAGAAUACUCGGCCUAUGGUAGAACAAUUACGAGUCUCCCCGUCAGAGUUGGAAAUGAUAAAACAAGACUUCGAGAAUAAGAGUUCAGAGCUUGGGAAAAAGAUCGAACAAUUGGAGGAAGAGAAGAUGCACCUAAGAUUAAACGCUGAUGUCCAGAGGUCAGAGGCUAAAAAGUGGAGAAGGGGGAAAAGCUAAGGCCGAAGAGGAUCUAAACAGUUUAAAGACUGAUUACAAGAAGUUAUGCCUGUCUAUAAGGACUGCGGGGUUAGGUAAGACUUCCGAAUAAUGGCGCCAUGAAAUUCGAGAAGAAAAGACCAAGGCCGACCGAUGGGAAAGGAAAUCCAAAUGGCUCAGGCAUGAAAUGAAGAUCUAGAGAAGAGUCUGUCAGAAAGCAGAAAUGAGUGAGGUGAAUUAAAGGCUAGAGUGGCAGAACUCGAGAAGUCUCUUCAUCAAUACCGAAACUGCAACACCGCAAUGGAAUUGAGGGCAAGCUUGAGCAAGAUAGAAGAAGUGGAAGGAAAAAUAGAAGAAUUAGAAACGUCACUGCAGAACUAUGAGAUGCAGAUUCAGUUUUUCGAGGCAAAUGAGGACCGUUGGAAAGAGCAGCUUCACCAUGCGCAUGAUCAAUUCAGAAAUAGAGAUUACAUUAUGGGAGAAGCCAUAUCCCAGAUUCGAGGAGGUAGCUAAUUACUUGCAAGCUUUGGCAGUACAAGCGGACAUACUGGUAGUGAAAUACGAGUUGGAGUCAGAUCGGGGGUAGAGCUAGCCUCAUUAUUUAAGAAAAUUAAGGCUUGAGCAUUAGGACGAAGUUUUAUUUGUAACUCAAUUUUAUGUAAAGACUUUUAUUUUCUGGUCAAGUUUUCUAAAUGGAAUUAAAUCAAAAUUGAUGCCUCCUUUGCAUUCAUGCAUUUGCAUUACAUUACUUCGUAUGCAUUAAAGGCCAUAAAAAGAUUCUAAUUAAUUAAAAAUGUUUCAGUAAUCUGGAAACCAACGAAAAUCUCUCAAGUACACAUCCUUACAGUACAAGAAGAAAAACUCAAGCAAUGGAUAAAAAAUUAGAAAGACUGGAACAAAUGCAGAAAGAGAUGCAGGAGUAGAUGCAAGCACAAGUACAAGAACAGUUAGCUAAAAUCCAGCAGGAAAUGAGGGAUCAAAUGCUGGAAUCGCAAAGAAGUAUGAUGGAAGAGCUAACCUGACUACUGACUAGUAGGACGGAUAAAGGAAAGGGUCCUAUGACCAAUGUGGGAAAUAAUAAUGAAGAUUCCCUUUACCCCCUGGUUUUAAUUCGGCAAGCGCUCAAAUGCAAUAUGAGAGGCCAGCCGUUACUGAGGAUCCUCUCUACCCCCUGGUUUCACUCUGAUGAGUACUCAAUUGCCACCCGAACUGCACAUGCGAAGGCCGUCUGUGACAAUCAGGCCCCAACAAGGCUGAUACCUCGAUACCGAUGAACUAUUAGGCUGGUUCAAGUUCUAAUCCGGGGGAUAACCCAACUAACCCCGGUGUCCCCGAUCUUAAUGAUGUAGUAGAGGCAGAAAAGACAAGGGUAGAGCUUCCGAAAGAACUCGAAGAACGGUAUAGAUGGUUGGAAGAAAAAUUUAAAGAAAUAGAAAAAGUUGACUAUCGUGGUGGAAUUGAUGCUAAGGAGUUAAGUUUAGUUCUGGACUUGGUGUUUCCCCCCAAGUUCAAAACGCCAGAAUUUGAAAAAUACAAUGGAACUAGCUGUCCAGAGGCUCACAUCACUAUGUUUUGUCGAAGAAUGGCAGGAAACAUUUACAAUGAUCAACUGUUGAUCUACUGCUUUCAGGACAGUUUGGUUGGGUCUGCGGCUAAAUGGUACAACCAACUAAGCCGUGCUCAAAUCCAUUCAUGGAAAGACUUAGCACAAGCUUUCAUGAAGCAAUACCGCCACGCGACAAACAUAGCACCCGAUCGAAUCACGUUACAAAACAUGGAGAAGAAACAAAAUGAAAGUUUCAGGCAGUACGCCCAAAGAUGGAGAGAGGUGGCGACGCAAGUCCAACCACCUCUUCUGGAGAAAGAAACGACUAUGCUCUUUAUCAACACUCUAAAAGCUCCAUUUAUCAACCACAUGCUAGGGAGUGCUACUAAGAGCUUCUCGGACAUAGUAAUAUCAAGAGAGAUGAUAGAGAACGUGAUAAGAUGCGGGAAGAUUGAAAUAGGAGAAAAUGCCAAGAAAUCAGCUCCAAGGAGGAAAGAAAACGAGGUGAACAACGUGAGUGUAUACAAUAAAAGUUAUAACAAGCCAGUUACCGUAAGCCAACCGAGGACGGUGACUACCAGCCAUCAGGGCUCCGCAAGACAAGAUUCCAACUCAAGGCCUAACACGGAAAGAGUCCAGUUUACGCCUAUCCCGAUAUCCUACAAGGAAUUAUAUCAGAGCUUAUUUGAUGCCCAUGUGGUGUCACCUUUCUACUUGAAACCUUUACAACCCCCAUUCCCAAAAUGGUACGACAUAAAUGCCCAGUGUGAGUACCACGCAGGGAUAACGGGGCACUCGAUUGAGAAUUGUACCGUGUUCAAAAAGUUAGUGGAAAAACUCAUCGAAAUGGGUGUGAUAAAGUUUGGUGACUCACCAGGUCCCAAUGUGGCAGGAAAUUCGUUACCCGACCAUGCUAAUAAAGGGGUAAACGCGAUAGUCAAAAGUGGAAGCAAAAGAAUCAAGAUGGAUAUAUCAGAGGUAAAAACCCCACUUAAACAGGUUUGGGGAAAGAUGGUGGAAGGGGGUUUAGUCACACGACAUCUAAGGGAAAGGCCCAGAGAAGCGAGAAGGUACUGCGAGUUUCAUGCUGAUGAAGGCCAUGACAUCCAAGAGUGCAACAAGUUUAGGUCCAUAGUGCAAAAUCUGAUGGACAAAAAGGAGAUGGAAUUUUAUGAAGAAACCAGAGGAUCAGAGGAAGAAGAGGUUUACGCUUCAGAUGAGGGAACGACAGAAAGGGUCUAAAGAGUUAAUUAUCCUGUAGUGAUCAUUUCACGACCCAGGAACAAUGAAGUAGGAGUACAACUGGCGCCGAGAGUCAUAAUCCAAAAACCGAUAUCCUUCCCAUACAAGGAUAGCAAAAAGGUUCCUUGAAAUUAUGACUGCAACGUGACAAUCCUAAGGGGGAAAGCCCGGCAAGUGCUUCACAGGAGAACCAAGAUGUAGGUUUCUAUACACGCAGUGGGAGACGUUAUGAUCCUGCGAGUACAAAAAAUGAAAUCGUUAAAGAAAAGGCCCCAAUGGUUGAGCAAAGGAAGGAGAACACAGUCAGGUUUGAAUCUCCAGUCAAUGAGUCGGUAACCGAGAAUGAAGCUAGGGUAUUUCUAAAAUUUUUAAAGCAUAGUGAGUAUAGCGUCAUUGAACAGCUACGCAAGCAACCGGCUCGCAUCUCGGUGCUAGCCUUACUUUUCAGCUCGAAAACGCAUCGGAAUGCGUUAAUGAAAGUGCUGAAUGAGACUUAUGUCGCGAAUGACAUCUCUGUUAACAAACUGGAUCGUCUGGUCAACAACAUCAAUACCGAUAAUUUUAUUUUCUUUAACGAUGAUGAAAUACCACCGGGAGGUAUGGGGUCUACAAAGGCUCUGCACAUUACCACAUGUUGCAAGGGAUUCACAUUACCGGGGGUAUUGAUUGAUAAUGGAUCGGCACUGAACGUCCUACGUCUAUCCAUAUUAAAUAGGUUGCCCGUGGAUAGUUCCCAUAUGAAAACAUGCCAAAGUAUGGUGAGGGCGUUCGAUGGUACCGAAAGGAAAGUAUUGGGGAGGAUCGAAAUACCCCUUUUAAUCGGCCCUAGCACGUACGAGAUAGAUUUAUUGGUAAUGGACAUCAGACCCUCUUAUAAUUGCUUGUUGGGAUGGCCCUGGAUUCACUUAGCGGGGGCAGUGCCUUCAUCAUUACAUCAAAAGCUCAAAUUUUUAAUGGAAGGUCGAUUGGUGACCAUAAAUGCGAAAGAAGAUAUCAUUGCAUCCGUUACCAGUAAUGCACUGUAUGUGGUGACAGAUGAUGAAGCCAUAGAGUGUUCUUUUCGGUCAUUAGAAUUUGUAAAUGCGACCUUUUUUGUCGAAGGAAAUAAGAUCCCGACACCCAGAAUCUCUAAAACUACAAGAAUGGGCUUACAACUGACGGUUGGGAAAGGAGCUUUGCCAGGGAAAGGGCUUGGAAGAAGCCUACAAGGGAGGGUUGAAGCACCUAUGCUCAUGGAAAAAUGAGAUCGCUUUGGCUUAGGAUUCAAGCCAGAUGCAAAAUAGAAGAAAAAAGAGUAAGAGAAGAAACAAGAAAGGAGAAGAGCGCGUUUAAGCGGGGAAGAGGUUAAGUGGGAGCCGAUGACCUUUCCUCACAUAGCCAGAACAUUCGUGUCGGGAGGAAUUAUUCACGUUGAAGGAAUAUCGACAAGGAAAGGAUCCACCAAAAAAAUGUUGGAAAACUUAAGCAUUAAUGCCACAUACGAAGAAGGAACUGGAGUUGAAGAUUUGUCAGGCAUUCGCCCUUAUGAGCCGGGAAGUGUUCUGAAUAAUUGGACUAUUGAAGAGAUUCCUGUAGUCUUUAGAACUAACACAGAGUAAUGCCCAAAACACACCUAUUACUCCAGGCCUAGGAGUAAUAAGUGUCCUUUUGUGAAAUAGACUUGUGUUCAAAAUCGUUAUUUCAAUGAAAUGCAUCCUUUUGUCUUAUCUCGUGCAAAUAUUCUUUUAUUCUUUCAUUCAUAAUCACACUAUACACAUCAUUGUUCUUAGAUUCUUUUGUUCUUUGUAUCUUCCUUCACAUCUACAACAGGUCUCCAGAUAUCAACCAUAUGAACGACGUUGCUACUAACUCAGAGUCUCCUUUUGAUCGAGAUAUGUGUUUAGAGGGAUCUCAGGACUUUGAAGAUGACAAAGACUGUAACUUACCCCCUGAUUUGUUAAGGAUGGUAGAACAAGAAGAGAAACAUAUUUUACCUCACAAAGAGUCAGUAGAAGUCGUGAAUUUGGGAGAUAAACAAGAAAAGAAAGAAGUAAAGAUCGGAGCUGGUAUUACCAUAGAGACAAAGCGGGACCAUAUUGAGUUACUCCAAGAGUUCAAGGAUGUCUUUGCAUGGUCAUAUCAAGAUAUGCCUGGGCUAAGUACUGAUAUUGUGGCACACAGGCUUCCCAUUAAAGAAGAAUACAAGCCAGUUCAACAGAAGCUCCGAAGGAUGAGGCCAGAUGUUUUGUUGAAAAUAAGAGGAGGUCAAGAAGCAAUUCGAUACUGGUUUCUUACAAGUGGUUAAGUACUCGGAAUGGGUAGCCAAUAUCAUACCUGCCCCUAAAAAAUAUGGAAAUGUAUAGAUAUGUAUAGACUACAGGGAUCCGAACAAAGCCAGCCCGAAGGAUAAUUUCCCGUUGCCUCAUAUUGACACCUUAGUGGACAAUACGACAGGUUACUCACUAUUCCCCUUCAUGGAUGGUUUCUCAGGGUGCAAUCAGAUCAAGAUGCAUCCCGAAGACAUGAAUAAAACCACCUUUGUAACUAUACGGGGAACCUUUUGCUAUAAGGUGAUGCCUUUCGGAUUGAAAAAUGCGGGGGCAACAUAUCAGGGAGCCAUGGUAACCCUAUUCCAUGAUAUGAUGCAUAAAGAAAUUGAAGUCUAUGUUGACGACAUGAUUGCUGAAUCCCGUACAGAAGAAGAGCAUGUACAAGUCUUGAGGAAAUUAUUUUUGAGGUUGAGGAAGUUCCAACUGAAACUCAAUCCAGUAAAAUGUACCUUUGGGGCCAGGUCAGGGAAACUGCUAGGAUUCGUAGUCAGUGAAAAAGGAAUCGAGAUUGACCCAGAUAAAGUCAAAGCUAUACAAGAGUUACCUCCGUUGCGUACUCAAAAGAAAGUUCAGGGAUUUCUAGGGAGAUUAAAUUACAUCGCUCGGCUCAUUUCACAACUAACCGAGAAAUGUGACCUCAUAUUUCGCCUCCUUAAGAAGCACAACCCUGGUGUUUGGGAUACUGAGUGCCAGAAGACUUUUGACAAGGUUAAACAAAAUUUGUCUAAUGCUCCAGUGUUGACACCACCUAAUCUAGAUAGGCCACUGAUACUGUAUUUGACAGUAUUUGAAAAUUCUAUGGGAUGUGUACUUGGCCAACACGAUGAGUCAGGAAGGAAAGAAAGAGCGAUAUAUUAUCUCAGUAAGAAGUUCACCAAGUGUGAGACGAGAUACUCACCAAUUGAAAAGUUGUGUUGCGCAUUAAUUUGGACAACCCGAAGGCUGAGACAAUACAUGUUGUACCACACAACUUGGUUGAUUUCUAAAUUAGAUCCUCUGAAGUACUUGAUGGAAUCAACUACUUUAAAUGGAAGAAUGGCCCGAUGAUAAAUUUUACUUUCCAAAUUUGAUAUCAUCUAUGCAAAUCAGAAAGAUGUAAAAGGGAGUGCAAUAGCAGAUUUUCUAGCCAGUAGAGCUCUCGAAGAUUAUGAACCUUUAAACUUUGAUUUCCCAAAUAAAGAUCUAAUGUAUGUGGCAACCACUGAAGAAGACCCUCAAGAAGGUCAUCUUUGGAAACUCUAAACUUCGACGGAGCAUCAAAUGCUGUAGGUAAUAGAAUUGGGGCAGUCUUGGUAUCCCCAGACGAAGAUCAUUAUCCCUUCACUAGUAAAUUAGAUUUUGACUGCACGAACAAUAUGGCGGAAUACGAAGCGUGCAUUAUGGGCAUCCGUGCAGCCAUAGAAUGUAAGAUUAAAGCACUAGAAGUAUGUGGAGACUCUGCGUUAGUGAUUUAUCAACUCAAAGGUGAAUGGGAGACGAGAGAUCCCAAAUUGAUAAAUUACAGAAAUCUGGUCCUUGAACUGAUUAAAGAAUUUGAUGAUAUCGUCUUCUUCUAUCUCCCUCGAGAAGAAAAUCAGAUGGCCGUCGCCCUGGCAACUUUGGCCUCUAUGAUCAAGGUGAACAAACAAGAGGAUGUGAAACCGAUCCAAAUGAGUAUUUACGAGGCUCCAGCUCAUUGUUACAACUUCGAAGAAGAAGCAGAAAAUGAUGAUAACCCUUGGUAUCACGAUAUCCUACGGUAUGUGAAGAAUCGUGAGUACCCCGACCGAGCUACUAAAAAUGACAAAAGAACGUUGAAAAGGCUGGCCGGCGACUAUGUCUUGGACGGGGAGAUCCUAUACAAAAGAAGGAAGGAUCAGGUACUGUUAAGAUGUGUAGACGCUAUUGAGGCCAAGAAAAUCUUAGAAGAAGUUCAUGAGGGCGUCUGUGGGACACACGCUAACGGCUUCACAAUGGCUAUGCAAAUUAUGAGAUUUGGUUAUUAUUGGUCCACCAUGGAAGAAGACUGUAUUAACUAUGCAAAAAGAUGUCAUAAGUGCCAAAUCUAUGGAGACAAGAUUAAUGUGCCUCCUUCACCUCUGCAUGUUAUGACUUCUCCAUGGCCUUUUUCGAUGUAGGGCAUGGAUGUGAUCGGGCCAAUUUCACCAAAAGCUUCAAAUGGGCAUCGAUUCAUCUUUGUGGUUAUAGAUUAUUUCACCAAGUGGGUGGAGGCCGCUUCAUAUGCUAAUGUAUCAAAAUCAGCAGUUAGCAAGUUCCUAAAGAGAGAGAUUAUCUGUCGAUAUGGAAUGCCAGAAAAGAUCAUAUCUGACAAUGCAUUGAAUUUAAACAACAGUACAAUAGCAGAGGUCUGCAGUCAGUUCAAGAUCAGACACCACAACUCGUCGCCGUAUCGCCCGAAAAUGAAUGGUGCAGUCGAAGCAGCCAAUAAGAACAUCAAGAAGAUUGCAGGAAAGAUGACUGAAACUUACAAAGAUUGGCAUGAGAAACUACCAUUCGCCCUCUAUGCUUAUCGAACAUCCAUCAGGACCUCUACUGGGGCAACUCCUUUCUCAUUGGUCUAUGGAAUGGAGGUGGUUUUACCCAUCGAGGUUGAGAUUCCUUCCUUCAGAGUUUUGGCAGAAGUAAAGCUGGAUAAGGCAGAAUGGAUCCAGUCCCGAUAUGAUCAGUUGAAUUUGAUCGAAGAAAAGAGGCUAAAGGCAAUCCGUCGUAGUCAAAUGUACCAAAAACGGAUGAUGCGAGCCUACAACAAAAAGGUUCGUCCUAGAGAAUUCCACGAAGGAGAAAAAUAUUUUUCCUAUACAAAAGGACUUCAGAGGAAAAUAGAUGCCAAAUUGGGAAGGACCUAAUGUGGUGAAGAAAGCAUUUUCUAGAGGAGCAUUGAUAUUAACCGAAAUGGAUGGCAAGACUUUACCCAAUCCUAUGAAUUUAGAUUCGGUUAAGAAAUACUUUGCCUAAAAAAAAAGGGAGAGGCCAAGGUGAAAACUCACAAAGGGCACCUUGAGACCAAAGGGAUUUUGAAUUGAAAACCCGUAAAAAGGCGAUUCAAACUUGGAUCAGAGGUUAGGCCUGCGGUAUUCUUGUAAUACCUGAAUUAGCAAGGAGGAGAGAUGUUACAUAUUGGGGCGUCAACAAGAGUACUUUAGAUCCCCUAAACACAUAUUAGGCUGAAAAAAAAGAGUCUUCAAGAAGUUCAUACGGGGAAGUUCAUGCUGCAAUAUUUGGGGCACCUAUCUUCCUUUUGUUUAUUUUGUCUUCCAGCAAUGUUUAUGUUUUGUGAUUAAUCUAUUCCUGUCCAAAUUUUGUUUCUAAUAAAUUUUAGUUCUAUCCAUUGUUACGAUUAUUCUCAAGCAUUUUUGCAUUGAAAUAACGACUAAUGGACUAAUGAUACUUUUACAAAAGGAGUUCUGCUUAUUACUCUGAAAGUUUCUAAAUAAUACAGGAACCUGAAACAGGACUAUUAUUUAGAACUAACCAAACCCAAUAAUCAGAAAUAUUUGAGAAAGUAGAGUUAAACUGGGACUACCACUUCGAAUUUUUCGUCCAAAAUCUAAGAUGAACAAGAAGACAGGAUACAGUUCCAGCGACAGAACCUUGAUGAACAAAAAGCAUUAGCAACCCAAACAUUAAAAAGGGAUCAUUCUCAUAACAUACCGCACUUAUGCAUUUAUAGAUAAUUCAUGACAUACCUAGUUAGGGGCAUUCUAAUUCAUUUCGAUCAUAGCAUCCUAAUUAUUUGGCAUAAGCAUAGGUAUUUGCAGCAGAUUCUACAGAUCAUACCCCUAGAGGAUGGUAUAGCAAUGUCUGAAAAUUACAGAUCUUGUCUCCCUAAGCACUAAUGGAACAGAUCAAAGACGGUGAGCCUUAACCCCCUAAGCAGUAGGGUAACAGGCUAAAUUACCAAUCACUUUUCCCUGAAAUGGUGUUGGAGCGGCUCGAAGACACCAACAGAUCUCCUUGAAGUUUCAGUGGAGUAGAUCAACACAAGUCUUAUCUCACUGAAGUUGCAGUGGAGCAGACUAAAGAUAGCAAAUUUUAUUUCCCUGAAGUUACAGUGGAACAAAUUGAAGCUAUAAACCACAAAUCUCAUCUCCUUGAAGUUUCAGUGGAGUAGAUCAACACAAGUCUUAUCUCUCUGAAGUUGCAAUGGAGCAGACUAAAGAUAGCAAAUCUUAUUUCCCUGAAGUUGCAGUGGAACAAAUUGAAGCUAUAAACCACAGAUCUCAUCUCUCUGAAGUUGCAGUAGAGUAGAUCAACACAAGUCUUAUCUCACUGAAGUUGCAGUGGAGCAGACUAAAGAUAGCAAAUCUUAUUUCCCUAAAGUUGCAGUGGAACAGAUUGAAGCUAUAAACCACAGAUCUCAUCUCUCUGAAGUUACAGUAGGGUAGAUCAACACAAGUCUUAUCUCCCUGAAGUUGCAGUGGAGCAGACUAAAGAUAGUAAAUCUUAUUUCCUUGAAGUUGCAGUGGAACAGAUUGAAGCUAUAAACCACAGAUCUCAUCUCUAUGAUGUUGCAGUAGAGUAGAUCACCACAAGUCUUAUCUCCUUGAAGUUGCAGUGGAGCAGACUAAAGGUCGCAAAUCUUAUUUCCCUGAAGUUGUAGUGGAACAGAUUGAAGCUAUAAACCAUAGAUCUCAUCUCUCUAAAGUUGCAGUAGAGUAGAUCAACACAGGUCAUAUCUCCCUGAAGUUGCAGUGAAGCAGACUAAUGAUGCAAUAGAGCAGAUCAACACAAACCUUAUCUCCCUGAAGUCGCAAUGGAGCAGACUAAAGAUGGCAAAUCUUAUCUCCAUGAAGUUGCAUUGGAACAGAUUGAAGCUAUAAAUCACAGAUCUCAUCUCUCUGAAGUUGUAGUAGAGCAGAUCAAAACAAAACCUAUCUUCUUGAAGUUGCAGAGGAGCGAUAGAGCAGAGCAAAGCGACAAGAUACAGUAGGCUACUUGAAAAUGGGAGAGGCACCAAAAAGUCAAGGCUUGGCGGGACCGGGCAAAAUUGGACUUUCUUAAAAGUCUUUACUCUGUUCUCAUUACAUGACAACGAGCAAAGAGGGGCAGCUGUUACAAGCCCAAUUUGCUCGGCCCAAUCUAAAACUAGACCUAGCCCAUUACCCAAUUACAAGCCCAAUCCUAACAUUUUCAGAAAACAAAAAAACCUAACCCCUAAUGCCUAUUCAGCGCUCAACCAAGUCCCGAGACUCUGUCACCACCACUGGUGGCCAGUUGCUCCACCGCCAACUACUCAUGCAGAGAAAAGACAAGGAUUAAAUGUGAAAACAGUGAAGAAAACAAGGAAUGUUGUAAAAAAUUGGCUAUAUAAAACCCUAAGAUAUCUAAAGCAAGGGAGUUUUUUUUCCCUUUUGGCAACAUAAAAAUUUUUACUACACAGACACUGAAAUACAAAACAGUAAUCAAAAUCAAAUUGAAGGAAAAAAGGUGAUUUGUGAAUGCUCUUACUCUUAUUUCUUUGAAUCUGUUCCUUUUUUAUAUUUUGUAUAUAUUAUAGCAUAACACAAAUAUAAGAAAAAGAAAAGAAGUCAUACCUUGCGAUUAGGCCGUCGAUUCCCUUUUGCUUCGUUAAAAUCGGAGUUAGAAGAGGAAAAUCUGAGGCCAAUGAAAUAAUAUAGUCGAGGCUUGUGAACGCCGGUCGCCGUUCCUAGCGGCGGGCUGUCGUUUUUUGGAGGAAAACCAUCUGAAUCGGCUGAGGAAGACGAAAUGGAGAGGCUGGGGCUGCUUUUUUUUGUUUCGGC